rnacentral:rRNA from 1 species
AAGACCUUGCACUUUUGGAGCGGCCGAUGUCUGAUUAGCUAGUUGGUGGGGUAAUGGCCUACCAAAGCUUCGAUCAGUAGCUGGUCUGAGAGGACGGCCAGCCACACUGGGACUGAGACACGGCCCAGACUCCUACGGGAGGCAGCAGUGGGGAAUUUUGGACAAUGGGCGCAAGCCUGAUCCAGCCAUGCCGCGUGAGUGAAGAAGGCCUUCGGGUUGUAAAGCUCUUUCAGCCGGGAAGAAAAGGUUGCGACUAAUAAUCGCAAUUCAUGACGGUACCGAAAGAAGAAYCACCGGCUAACUACGUGCCAGCAGCCGCGGUAAUACGUAGGGUGCGAGCGUUAAUCGGAAUUACUGGGCGUAAAGGGUGCGCAGGCGGUUUUGUAAGUCAGAUGUGAAAUCCCCGGGCUUAACCUGGGAACU